AACCUCCGCAGGCUGGCCGGCCAGGAUGCUGGUCUGGGCGAGUAUCUCUUCAGAAAGCUCACACUCAAGGGUAACUAGGAGC
rnacentral:pre_miRNA from 1 species